rnacentral:lncRNA from 1 species
CUACCGUAUUCCUCUUGAACUUGGUACCCUCUUCCAGUACCGAUCUCUCCCCCCAAUGACUCAAAAUCUAGAGAUGUGCAACCAAACAGUUAAAGAUUCAGCAACUGUCCGGUGUUCAGAAUAGCGGCGAUUAGAUCAAUUUGAAGUCUGAAAACUGAUUUCUAUUGGGAAAUGAAAAAUUCUAUUUGGCAAUGGGAAUUUCAUUUCCUCUAGCCAUAUCUUCACAAUCAACAAAAGCCUGGUGCUGAUGGGGAUGGGAUGGUGACAGUGAGGACUGGGGUGGUGGUGUUGAAAGGGGGUUUGAGUUUCGGACAGGAUGUUUUAACUUUACUUUUACCCUUUUCUUUUUAUUUCUAUUAAAAGUAAUUUCCUACCUAUUUUAUCCCCAUACAAGGUGAAACGUUUUGGUUGGGAGGAUGGAAACGAUGAACUUGCUACAAAGUUGAGAGGUUGGAUACAACUGUAUCCAAAAAUUUUAGUUUGGUGUCUUGGGAACCAACUUGUUUUUACCUUGUGUAUAUGCUAGAAGUAUGUGAGGCAAUUUUUCCAACGAUUUAAUCAGCUGGCCUUUUUGUCUUUGGAUGUUUUCUUGGUGGUUGAUGGCUUUUUUCCCUAAAUCAAAUAUGUUGGUUGAAGUUUUACCUGUCUGCCUCUAUACUUGACUUUGGAGUCGUCGUUUAUUAUUAUUAUUUACGUACAAUUUACACUCCUAUUUGUUUUAAGGAAG